CAGGCCUAACACAUGCAAGUCGAAUGGUAACAGGCCUAGCUUGCUAGGUGCUGACGAGUGGCGGACGGGUGAGUAACGCGUAGGAAUCUACCUAGUAGUGGGGGAUAACCUGGGGAAACCCAGGCUAAUACCGCAUGAUCUCGUGAGAGCAAAGCAGGGGACCGCAAGGCCUUGCGCUUUUGGAGAAGCCUAUGUCGGAUUAGCUUGUUGGUGAGGUAAUGGCUCACCAAGGCCGCGAUCCGUAACUGGUCUGAGAGGAUGAUCAGUCACACCGGAACUGAGACACGGUCCGGACUCCUACGGGAGGCAGCAGUGGGGAAUAUUGGACAAUGGGCGAAAGCCUGAUCCAGCAAUGCCGCGUGUGUAAGAAGGCCUUCGGGUUGUAAAGCACUUUAGGCUGGAAAGAAAAAACUUGGGCGAAUACCUCAAGUCUUGACGGUACAGCAGAAUAAGCACCGGCUAACUCUGUGCCAGCAGCCGCGGU
rnacentral:rRNA from 1 species